rnacentral:ncRNA from 1 species
UGCUCUGGCAAGGCAGGCCAGCCACCGGAUAGAGAACCCCGGGCCGGCGGGAGUGAUCCCAAAGGUUAAGCACAGGGGGACCAAGACAGCAGGUCGUAAGCGAAAGUUGAACGGAUAGAGCCUCGAUAGCAUUCUUGAACGGGAGGGGCGACGAUGUUAAGUGAUCGGAAGCCCACACAAUGCAGUGCGUAUGGCAAGAAUUGCAUUGCCUCCCCAAGGUCGGAGA